GGCAGACAGACGCACGUGAGAACGUCGUGCUCGCGUGAGCUGGUAACCAUAGCAACACCCGGCCGACGAUUUAAGUUUUUCAAAUUGAGGAAUUGUUUUUUUCGUUCCUUAACAGUUACACAAAACAGCUACUGAGAAACGACUUAAGGUCAAAGAGACACCUAUCGCCAUGAACGCAGUAAAGCUAGUGAAGUUAGAGAAAUCCUGCUGUCCUGGUCACUGCAGGUCCCGAGCAGUUUUCAGAUUACUCAUUAAUGUGCACGGGACAGAUGGAAACAACAGAGCUUCAUCGCCAGCUGCCUCCAUCAUCCAUCCAGUCGGUGUGGAACAUCAUCAGAUGAGAUGUCACACAGACACUCAGGAA